rnacentral:tRNA from 1 species
GGCCCCGUGGUGCAGCGGCUAGCACUCCGGACUUUCGAUCCGGCUAUCGUGGGUUCGAGUCCCACCGGGGUCA